rnacentral:rRNA from 1 species
GUCGGGGGCAUCAGUAUUCAGUUGUCAGAGGUGAAAUUCUUGGAUUUACUCGAAGACUAACUACUGCGAAAGCAUUUGCCAAGGAUGUUUUCAUUAAUCAGUGAACGAAAGUUAGGGGAUCGAAGACGAUCAGAUACCGUCGUAGUCUUAACCGUAAACUAUGCCGACUAGGGAUCGGGCGAUGUUCUUUUUCUGACUCGCUCGGCACCUUACGAGAAAUCAAAGUUUUUGGGUUCUGGGGGGAUUAUGGUCGCAAGGCUGAAACUUAAAGAAAUUGACGGAAGGUCACCACCAGGCGUGGAGCCUGCGGCUUAAUUUGACUCAACACG